CCUUCCUGUCUGCUUAGGGAAUGUUAGCAACAAACUAAGGGAGCUUAUCAGAAGAGUACCAGCAGUUCAUGUUACUGCAAGCAAAAGCUUUCUCACAACAGUCCAGGUUGCAUUCUCUCUGACUGCUUUGUGCCACGUUUCCAUCUUUGCCAAUAAGUUCUGAAAAUUCCAGGCACAUGGUGAUCAAGGCUAGUGAGCGUGGAUUCACCAAGGGGAAAUCAUGCAUGGCCAAAGCUUCUGCAGUGAAAUUAUAAGUUGAGAUGGAUGAGGAGAGAGAGUGGAUAUUCUCUUCCUAGACUUAGCAAGGCCUUUGACUCUGCCUCCCCUAAUCUCCUCACAGAGAAGCUGUUGAAGCUGGGUGAGUAGACAGGGAGCUACAUCCAAAACUGGCUGAAUGGCCAGGCCCAAACGGCAGUGGUCAGUAAUGCAAAAUCUAGUCGGAGGCCUAGAUUUUGAGCAGAGUACCCCUGAUUCAGUACUGGUCCCAGUCCUGUUUAAUGUCUUCAUAAACAAUUUACCUUUAGUAAAUUUGCAGAUGACACAAAACUGAGGGUCACUCCAGUACAACAGCGACAUGGAGUCAUUGAAGACAGACCAAUGUAGGGCCAUGAAGAUGAUGAAGAGUCUGGAAGACCUCUCCUAUGAGGAAAGGCUGGAACAUGAGGAGGGAGAGGCCGCAGAAGGAUCUCAUCAACAUCUCUAGAUACCUGAAGGGAGGCUGCAAAGAAGAUCAUUUCAAUGGCGCCCAGUGCCAGGAAAAGAGGCAAAAAGCACAAACUGAAACACAAGAGGUUCCCUUUCUACCAUCAGGAACUGUGAUAAAGCUCACAGAGUUUGUGGAGUCUUCCCUUUGGAGAUCUUCAGAAGACUCUUGGAUAUGGUCCUGGGCACCCUGCUCUGAGUGUUCCUUUUGGAACAGGGGUUGGGCCACAUGGACCGAGAGGGCUCUGCCAGCCUCAUCCAUGUUGGGAUUCUGUAACAUCAGAGAAGAUGAUGGGUGAGAGUAGGGGUGAGCAUGAGUUAGGCAGCCCUGGCUGAUGUGUGCAGGGGCAGCAGAUGGAGAAGAAGAGCAGGGAAUGUUUUUCUGGAGAAUGGGAAUGCAAGCAGGUCUCUUUGGAGGGGUUGAAAUAUGCGGGGUGCAUGAGAAGCUCUCUGUGGGGGGAAGAGUGCAAUAAGACAUGAAUAGGGCAGCUGUGUCCCCAAAUAACAUGAAAUUUGUGUUUUCAGGAGGCAUUCUGUCUGAUCCUCAUCACACUCUCUCCACUUGCUCUGCUGGGAAAGAAAAUGCCUGAACCUUAGCAUGGUCUGCCAUGAUUUGUCUGAAGACCAAAACUGGCUUGUGAAGGGGCCAUCAUUGCCUCAGUGGUGGCUAGCUGUAUGCUAGACUGGCCUUAGCGCCAUACCAACUAACGGCUGUUCAGUGUUGGGGAGCAGGUUUUAGAAGCAGAGACAUUUGUGCACAGUGCUGGGUAUGCAGCUGUGCAGUAGCUAUAGAAAUAAAGUACAAUAUAUAUUUACUUGGUGAUGUGAAGCCACAGUAAGUGAGGGAUGGGGGUGGAGGAGGCCUUUGUUACACACCUUUUAUUAUAAUAAACAUUAUUUUUUUAAUUUCAGAGCAUUCAGCAGAGGAGGCAGUGUUUACACUGUGUUAAGGCUGAAGCGAUUGCAAGGCUCAGAGCUGAUAAAAACCUUCCUAGUAUCAAAGGAUAUCAAAUGGCUGCUGAUUACGAGCGUGGGUGUAAAUACAUGGCAAACUCACUCCCUUUCCACAGAACAGACCAGUCUCCUAAGGCACUGGGAAGGAUGCUGUACAAACAGCUACAUAUGUUGCAGAGGAGGAGUGGAGCAGGGAAAGGUCCCCAUCCCGCUCAAGGAGCAAGGACUUGGUGCAAUGGGAGAACAGAUCCCCUGCACAGGAGCUGGUGUCCUGCUGCAUAGGCUGCUGCAGCUGCUGUGAUAUAACCUGCCUAGAAAGACGCCCUGGCCUGGGACCCUCAGCCCACCCCUGCCUGGAGAGUGGAUGCAGGUGAAACACUUGUUUGAGUGCCAAGAAGAGGGAUGGGAGAUGAUCAGAUGAUGCUCUCUAACUGGGAGAUGUCCUUAUAUCUAUCUGUCCUCACACAAGAGGAUCAAAACAUGGUACGCCUUGUGCCUGGGGGACAGAGAUGGAUCUGGGAGUGGAUCUGCAGCUACUGUAGGGAAGGUAACGUGUGGGGUAAAAUGAUGAAGCCUAGGACGGACCAUUUUGUUCAACUUGCAGUUCUGCUGUGACAUCAGCAGGCUCUGACAAAAGGGAAUACAAAGGGAGUUGAUGUUUAUCCUGACUGUCCAAACUCUGGGAAACCCCCCUAGCAGUGCUGGUGUUAAUUAGUAGCACAAGCUGCGUGUGAUUCUUGCUUGUACCCCAGGUAGGUUGGUCAUACAAAGUCUUGCUCAUUGCUUGCUUGUAGAUCUUCAUCUUUCAUUUUAUGGCCUGCCAGAGUAGGAGUUGUUGCUCACAGAGCUUCCAGGGAGCAUCGCUUCAGUCUCAAAAACAAGGUGGUCACUUGACUGGAGUGGAAGUGAGGCCAAAAAGCUAUGUCUCUGUAUUACAGUAAAAACACUUGGUCAGUCUGUGGUAUAGGCUCUGUGCUGUGCAAACAGUGAGAAUCAGAGAACCAGCACCACUAUCAGAGCGAGAGAUAUUUAUUUGGCACACAUAAUGCAUUUGGGGUCCAGAGAGAGGUGAAUUAAUGCAAUUAUUACUUCCUCUUGAAAUAUCUAAAAGUAGUCCCUACCGACUUGGUGGUACAUAUUGUCUGUGGCUUUACAAUAUGCAGUGGACUGUGGCAAGAGAUUUCUGUGAUCCUGUUAAGUCCAGAUGCCUUCUGUUGGACUUCCCUGUGAAAGCAUGCCAAGACACUGGAAAGCAUGGAGAGCACACCACGUGAUUUCUGUUUCUUUAGAUGACUCCUGCAGAGCUAAUCCUUGAUCUGUCUGAGAUUAUCACCUAUAAAAUGAGUUAAUAUUUUCCUUCCUGUCAGCAUUGCAGGUUCUUUGAUAGUUGAGUGCAGCGGUAGAUCAGUUUCAUCCACGAGCUCAUAUGGCUUGCUAAUUCAUCACUGCAACAACUAAAGGCAAUAAUAACACUGUGAAUUUAUAACCAACCUCAGGGAGUCUUUCACCUUUCAGCAUGCAAUCCACUGCAAAACUAUACUAAUUCAGUAAUUCAUGCUAGGCAGAUGCUUUUCCUGCAUGAGACUAAAAAGGUCCCACACUAAAAAAUAAUCCAAACUCUCUUGAAAUGGAUAAAACUCUUCUACUGAUGCAAGAGAUGCCAGCGUUUUCCAGCCAUUAUCCAGGUGGAACUGAAGGAGCUGGUCAGUGCACAGAACUCUUUGGCUAAAUGCUCUCUGUUGGUACACCAUCUCUCCUGUGUCUGUGUUCACAUCUCCGGCAAGACUUUGAACCUGGUUGCCUUGGGUAUCAGCCAGACUCAAGGGACAUAAUAAUACCUCUGAAAUGGGUAGUUUUUCCAUUUUGAACUGCUGCUAGCUUUGUUUUUUGAAACAGCUUAAUCCUGGCUCCCCAGGAAAGCCUGGAUUUCUAGGAUGUGGGAAUCACGUCUGAGCCUAGUCUUGGCUACUCAUUGAAAACUCUGAGGAGAGGCAGAUGAUGAAGUGUUCCUUGCACUGAGCCUGCUCUGGUGCCCAGCAGUCAGAGCUGGUCUCUGCAGCAUUUCACACCUUAGCUGGAGAGCAAUUUAGGGUGAACUAUUCAUUAAGAAUUUUUGGGGGAGAAAAUCCUCUUCUCUCACUUCUUUAAUGAAUGACACAGAUAUCAGUGCUUUGCCUGAGCAUAUGUGAUACAAAACAUCCUGUGCUUCAGAUCCCUGAAUGAUUUCAUGUAAGCCAUGCCCUGUUUGGUUUGUAGGGACUGGACAAUGCCAAAUGCUGCUUUUCUUUUUAUGUGUGUUUCAUCUUUGGUUGUUUUAUAAAAUAUGCCUGUGUCGGUACUUAAACGUGUUGGAAUAUGCUGGGCUUGCUCAGUGAUAAAAAAAAUACUCCCUUAAUUCUUUGUUGCUGUUCUCAUUAUAAAGUAAUUGAUAAGUUUGUAUUUCAACAGUGAAGCUCACCUCAUUAUUUUUUAGUAUUUAGGUGGAUUUGUUGCUGGUUGCCUUUUUUCAAGCUCAGUAGGAGGAUAUGAAGCGCACUGACUUAUAUGUAACUCUUCAGCUGAAACAAGUCAAGAAGAUUAAGUGGAGAUCGAAGCUGCUGAUUUUACUCCACGUGCAAAGUGUUAUUCUCAAAAGCUAAAGCUACCUCAGCAAAUAGUUUGACAUCCAUUGAAAGAACAAAUUAAGGUUUUUUGAUGUGGACAUUAAGAAAAAUGAUAUAUCAGUUUCCCAGAUUACCAGGAAAAAAAAGAAUGAAAGAAGCUAAUUGCAAGGUGGUAUAAUGCAAGAAAUGUAGAAAAGUUGGCAGUACGUACCUCAUACUUUCCAUAUACAAAGUGGUAUACAGAAUGGAGGCGCUUUGUAUAUCCAUGUAAGCCUUCACAGGUAUAGAGAUGCCUUUCUUUUUUAAUCUUCUAAUGCUUCUCUGAAAACCAGGGAAACCUUGUCCAGAUUUUUCCUGGAAAUGACAUUUCACUUUCCCUACUCAGAUGAAAGAAGAAAGUGAACUUCUUCAAGUUCUCAUGAUUGACCUCUAAGAAAAUUGUUAGACACAAACAGGAAACAUGUCCCUACUCUCACACCAUGCCUAGGUGAACUUCUGUGUCACUCACAUCCUUUUCACACAUUCUGUUUAAUAAAUGCCAUUGUUUAAGGUUGUUUUAGUUAAAUUAGGUCACAUGUCUUUUAAAUCCUGGAAAGAUGAGCAGCAAAUGGAUGACGCGGUGAGGAUGUGCCAACUCUUUAUUUCUGGCUGUGCACUUGUCCCACCUCAGUGGUAUCUCUCUGUCUUAUGUUCCUGCUAAAAAUAAUUUGGAUCACUUUUUUGUCAUUGUUGGCAAAACUGUUGUCUCAGAAGACAUGAACACUUCUGCACUGAACUUAGAGCGCACAGAGCAUGGAGAAAGAUGUGACCUUUGUCACAAAACAGUCCUCUUGCCUUGCAGUUUCUAUGCAUGCAAUAAUGGGCUGUUUCAGGGAGUAACAGUAGAGACAAUCUUCCAUACGCAGUGGUUAAAAACUGUUUCCACUAUCCUACCCUCUACUGCUUAAACUGAAAUCACAGAUAGAUUUUCAAGUUAGUAUUGCACUGGCAUAGCAGGAUCCCGUUAUAGCUGUUGUCCUCCCCUGCAGGCACCCAUGCAAUUAUGAUUCAUGUCCUGUGCACAUUUUGGACAGUCCUCAGAACUUAAGAGAAGAAAGAGUAGUUUGUUGGUCUUCUUUCUACAAGUCAUCUGUGGCUGACACUUGGAUGAAAAUGAAGACAUCUGAACUAAUAAAAAUUAGAUGACCCAGGGUGUGGUGAGGAACCUGACUACUUUAGGCUAGAUACCUAAAUUGUGGAUGGAUUAUAUUAACAGGCAUGAAUCCUGUUUUUGUUUUCAUAUGUUGACCAAAUCAGCUUAGCAUCACGGUAAUUCAGCUUACCCAUGCAUGUGUGGAUGGAGAACGAGAUCUUUAAAUAGUUAAAGAUUUGUAAAGAUGGGGUAUAAGAUAGGUGGUGUCUCAGUGACUUUCAUCUGUUACCUACUUACUGCUUGAAUGCUUCUUUCAAGACUUGUCUGCCUACUUCUUAUCCUUCAAAUCUGACUGUACUGGAGUUUAAAGGAAUGCUUUGUGAACCUACCAAAAACCCAACAACUUGAGUUUUUAAUUUCAAUUGGUGUCAAUAUGUACUUAAACUUACAAAUGCAGCAAAGCAAGGAACACUUGUUUUUUUCUCUUAGUUCUUUUCAAAUGGGUAACUUUUUGUGUGCUGAUCUGUUCAUGUCAGUAAAUGGAGCCAAACUUCAUCUGUUGGAGGCGGCCUCAUUUUCUGGAGUGCAGGUGGUUCCAGAAGCCUCUGCUUUGUCCCCUGGCAGAGACACGGAGACAUGCCUGAUUUAAUGCUGGCAGCUCACUACAUUCAUAUGCAUGUCAUCAGUCUUAUUGUUUCUUCAUUUUGGCCUUUCACACACCACCAGGAGGGAAAGAAUUUAUUUCAGUGAAAAAUGCGAUUCUGGAAAUGUAAAUUAUCAGCAGGCUGCAGGCAUGCCUUGCUCUUCCCUAAAAUUAAUUGUAGCUCGCUUUUAUUUAGCACAUGGUAUUGUCCAUUUAAUUUAGCAGUGAAGUUUUAGAAGGAUUUCUGGAGCAUGGUUUACAAUUUCAUUAUCCACUUUCAAGAGCAAAAAACAGCAUAAGUGAGCAAACAUUUAAUUCAGCAGCAGCAGAGAACAUGCCAAUUAAGCAGCGAUAGAGGAACCCGACUAAGCCAUUUCAGAAAUUGCUUCUCAGACUUGAAGUGUGCAUUCUUCAAAUAAACAUUGGUACUCUUUUCCCAGGAAGAAACAUUUAGUAUUUAUCAUCAACCUUAAUGGGCCUGUG